rnacentral:rRNA from 1 species
CUUUAUUUGCUCAGAGCCCAGUGCCUAAUGUAGCAAUAUUACCAUAAAAAUAAUCACCAGUGGCUACAUACCACCCGCGCUUGAAUAUAGCUGGUUCUUCACAAGGCCAGUCUAAGCUGUUAAAGUUGGAUCUACCACACACUCCAUUACCAACUAUUAAAGUAAAUCAGGGACAAGCCCGAUUUAUGCUCUUAUUAUAAAAAAAAUAUAAACAUCUAUGUAGGCCCAAAAACAGCCAUCAACCAUUUCGUUUCUGUACACCAAAAAAUAAAAUUCAACCAUAAUACAAAAAAGUGAAGUAAGGACAAAAACCAAGCCCGCCCUAAACCUAUGCAAAGACUAGUAUUAUUUAACUAUACAUGAUAAAGGAACUCGGCAACCACUUCACUCCGCCUGUUUAACAAAACACCGCCUGUAGACACCCAAUUAUAGGUCAAUCCUGCCCAGUGAACAUUUUAAACGGCCGCGGUAUCCUGACCGUGCAAAGGUAGCAUAAUCAUUUGCCUUCUAAUUAGAGGCUAGUAUGAACGGACAAACGAGAGUAAACCUGUCUCUCUCAUGAAACUAAAACCUUACCUUCAGGUGAAGAGGCCUGAAUAUAUAUAAAAGACAAGAAGACCCUGUCGAGCUUUAAUUAAAGCAGUCACAUAAAUUUCACUCGACAACUAAAACACUGUAAAUAAUUUUUGUUGGGGCGACAAUGGAAUAUAAAAAUCUUCCAGCAAACCAUAGACCUCAAGUCUCCCAAGAGAUCCUCACAAAGAUCAUAGGAACCAGCUACCGCAGGGAUAACAGACUAAUUCUUCCCCAGAGCCCAAAUCUACGGAAGAGAUUGGCACCUCGAUGUUGGCUUAAGAUUCCUCCUGAGUGCAGCAGCUCAGAAUGUGGGUUUGUUCAACCCUUAAAAUCUUACAUGAG